rnacentral:rRNA from 1 species
AGAACGAACGCUGGCGGCAGGCUUAACACAUGCAAGUCGAGCGCCCCCGCAAGGGGGAGCGGCAGACGGGUGAGUAACGCGUGGGAAUCUACCCAUCACUACGGAACAACUCCGGGAAACUGGAGCUAAUACCGUAUACGUCCUUCGGGAGAAAGAUUUAUCGGUGAUGGAUGAGCCCGCGUUGGAUUAGCUAGGUGGUAGGGGUAAUGGCCUACCGAAGGCGACGAUCCAUAGCUGGUCUAGGAGAGGAUGAUCAGCCACAGUUAGGGACUGACGACACCGGACCCAAACCGUCCGUACGGGGAGGCAGCAGGUAGGGAAUAGUUAGGACAAGUGGGACGAAAGCC